GGCCCUCAGAACUGCACCUCCACCCCAUGGUUAGUCAUUCCAGACUAACUUGUUCUCUUAUUCUGAACUUGGCCUCAGCUUUCCCCCUUCACCUCUCUCUGUUGGCUGAGAGCUAUGGUCACCAUUUCAUCCUGAGAAAGGACAUUCAAUUAAGAGGAGAAUUUCAUGCCUAUAUUCAGGCUGUCUCUGAUGCCUCCUUGUGGUGUGAAGGAGACCCUGGACUCUCAAAGGCUCUGUUAGUAGAGCAGUGUCCUACUGAGGAGGAAAAGCUUUGGGUAUGGACCCUGCCUGCAAUGUGCCUGUCAUCUGCCAUCCAAAGACGAGCCUUAAUAAAUUGUGCGAGGCUUAUCACAAGAAGGUUGGCCACCAGGAAAAUCUACUCAAAGACUGUAUCUGGGAAAUGUAGCCAUUGGAAAUAUUUAAAGAUUAAUUCAGAAUUGAAGCAGAGGAAGACAGACCUCAACUUUGUUACCUUGAGGAAAAGGAGAAGACAGAAAGAAGACAACAGACCUAUGAUUCCUACAGACUAA
rnacentral:lncRNA from 1 species